rnacentral:rRNA from 1 species
GACGAACGCUGGCGGCGUGCUUAACACAUGCAAGUCGAACGGAAAGGCCCUGCUUUUGUGGGGUGCUCGAGUGGCGAACGGGUGAGUAACACGUGAGUAACCUGCCCUUGACUUUGGGAUAACUUCAGGAAACUGGGGCUAAUACCUGAUAGGAGCUCCUGCUGCAUGGUGGGGGUUGGAAAGUUUCGGCGGUUGGGGAUGGACUCGCGGCUUAUCAGCUUGGUGGUGGGGUAGUGGCUUACCAAGGCUUUGACGGGUAGCCGGCCUGAGAGGGUGACCGGCCACGUUGGGACUGAGAUACGGCCCAGACUCAUACGGGAGGCAGGAGUGGGGAAUAUUGCACGAGGGGCGGAAGCCUGAUGCAGCGACGCCGCGUGCGGGAUGACGGCCUUCGGGUUGUAAACCGCUUUCGCCUGUGACGAAGCGUGAGUGACGGUAAUGGGUAAAGAAGCACCGGCUAACUACGUGCCAGCCGCCGCGGUAAGAC